rnacentral:lncRNA from 1 species
AUUCUAUGAUGUCAUGGUUCCUUCUCUAUGCGUGUUCUCUUGAGAACCAAGCAGGAUCAAUAGUUUUCAGAAGAACAGAAGUACAGAAAAAAAUGUGUUGUACUGCCCUAGCUCUACCCCUCCCAGGUUAUGACUCCUUCUGUUACUUUUGACUGGGUCCUACCUUCCGUUUUUGGUCCAGUAACAGGGCUGCCAUUUGGGAAUGGAUUCUCAGGCUCUAGUUGCUCCCCAGAAAAGCCUCAGCAAGUCAUUUUACCCUUUGCCUCUCACUCUACAUGGGUCUUUUCGAGAAUAUCUUAAUGAAAUAUUUCCUCAUCUCUGCGGACAAAGAGAUUUUUAUUGUGGGGGUGUCCCAUUAUUUUCCAUCUCAGGGACUCCUUCUUCAUUGUUUCCUUUUCUCUUCUGCUUCUCUUUCAUGGCUGCGCGUUUCUUCUUCCAGUGUUGCGGGCUAGGUCAGCAGCUGCAGGAGAACUUGAUUAGUGCCUUGCCUCAGUGCAGAUGCAUUUCCCUGACAGCAUCGAUCCUGGGUGCUUUCGCUUUGCAGGCAGCUCCACAGAGGAGGAGCUUGUACUGCAAAGGAGGUGGACUGUUGUCUGUUCAAGAUAUGAGUGGGAUCACUAAAACAUGGAAGCAACAAAAGUACCUACACUUCUAUCUCUACCUGACAAGAAAAUAUUGCAAGAUGAAGAAACUGAAGCAUAAAGCAUCUAGAAGACAAGCCACUGCAAGUUUCUGA